rnacentral:rRNA from 1 species
UACGUAGGGUGCAAGCGUUGUCCGGAAUUAUUGGGCGUAAAGAGCUCGUAGGCGGUCCGUUAAGACAGAUGUGAAAUCCCGGGCUUAACCUCGGGAACUGCAUUUGUGACUGGCGGACUCGAGUAUGGCAGAGGGGUAGAAUUCCACGGUGUAGCAGUGAAAUGCGUAGAGAUGUGGAGGAAUACCGAUGGCGAAGGCAGCCCCUGGCCAAUACUGACGCU